UGUGGUCGAUUUGAUCGACGCAGCGACACCUCCCCUGCAUCACCACGAGGUAAUGCUCUCCUUGUUGCCUCUCUUGGCUGUGGAAUGGACCCUGCGUUUUUUUGGUUAGGUUUUGAAUGUAUUUAAAUUCAGCUCGAGCGUGAAGGAAUACAUGCUUGUGUUUUAAAGCGGAAGGGUUUGGGGAUUGAAGUUGCGGUUAUCUAUUUUGGAGGAGCGACAAAGGAAGUGUGUUGAGGGAGAAGCAGGUGAGACGAAGUUGAAAAAAAUUGGGCAAGAUGUCGAUGUCCAAGACUUCCAAGCUGUUACUAUAUAUAAAUUGGCGGAUUCGGGUCACGAUCCAAGAUGGGAGACAAUUGGUUGGAAAGUUUAUGGCAUUUGAUCGGCAUAUGAAUUUGGUACUUGGUGAUUGUGAGGAGCUACGUCGUGUGCCACCAAAGAAAGGGAAAAGUCAGGAGGAGAAGGAAGAGAGAAGGACCUUAGGGUUGCUACUUCUCCGUGGAGAGGAGGUGAUUUCGAUGACAGUGGAGGGCCCUCCACCACCUGACGAAUCUAGAGCUAAAGCAGCUGCAGCUGUUGCUGGAGGUCCUGGAGUCGGCCGGGCUGCAGGACGUGGAAUCCCCACUGCUCCUCUGAACCAAGCUCAGCCAGGACUUGCUGGGCCUGCAAGAGGGGUUGGUGGACCUGCCCCUGGUAUGAUGCAGCCGAGACCUCAAGUCUCAGCAGCUCCUAUCACGUACACACCCCCUCCUGCUCCCAUUCCCGGAGUGAGGCCCCCAGGUCCUCCACCUCCAGGGCAAUAUGCUCCUCGUCCAAUGCCGGGGCCGCCAGGAGCGCCACCUCCUGGCAUGCGCCCUCCUGGCCCUCCUGGUCAGAUGAUGCAAGGUCCCCCUGGACAAGCACCUCCUCAAGGGUAUGGACAAGGUCCUCCUGGUGGAAGGCCAAUGCCGCCUCCUCCUGGUCCUCCUCCGCAGAUGUCUGGACCAGGCAUUCCAGGUCCUUAUGGACAGCGACCCAUGGGUCCUCCCCCGAUGAUGCGCGGCCCUCCUCCAGGUAUGGGAGGCCCUGGCGGUCCUCCUCGACCUGGAAUGCCUCCUGGCAUGCAGGGACCUCCAAGACCUGGUAUGCCUCCUCCUGGUGCACCCCCUGGUAUGUACGGACCUCGCCCAGGUAUGCCUCCGCAGCAACCGCCGCCGCAGCAGUGAAGCCUCGAUUUAAUUCGAUUCCUGAAGGAUGGAUUCAACCGAUGCGGCUUUUCAGUACGAUUUGUAUCACCAUACGUGCUCUGUUUAUUAGUUUCAAAUUUUCAAUUCCAACGUGAGGAUAAAACCUUUGGUAGACAUCCAGUGCUCCCUUUUUUUUUAUUGCGCGACAGAGAUCAAAUCCAAGGGGAUAGGUAGGGUUUUGCUUAAAACAUCCGUUGGUGAUGACUGUGUGGAGAGUAAGGCUCUUACUAAAGGAUGUGCAAUUACGGCCUUGAUGCCAAUUUUUUUGAUCAAGCCAUUUCAGGCAUCUGGAUUUUGGAUAUUGAAAA